UACGGAGGAUCCAAGCGUUAUCCGGAUUUAUUGGGUUUAAAGGGUGCGUAGGUGGCCUGUUAAGUCAGGGGUGAAAGACGGUAGCUCAACUAUCGCAGUGCCUUUGAUACUGAUGGGCUUGAAUACACUUGAGGUAGGCGGAAUGUGACAAGUAGCGGUGAAAUGCAUAGAUAUGUCACAGAACACCAAUUGCGAAGGCAGCUUACUAAAGUGUGAUUGACACUGAGGCACGAAAGCGUGGGGAUCAAACAGG
rnacentral:rRNA from 1 species